UACGUAGGGUGCGAGCGUUAAUCGGAAUUACUGGGCGUAAAGCGUGCGUAGGCGGUUCGUUAAGUCAGCUGUGAAAGCCCCGGGCUCAACCUGGGAAUUGCGGUUGAAACUGGCGAACUAGAAUCUGGCAGAGGGGGGUGGAAUUCCACGUGUAGCAGUGAAAUGCGUAGAGAUGUGGAGGAACACCGAUGGCGGAGGCAGCCCCCUGGGCUGAGAUUGACGCUCAGGCACGAAAGCGUGGGGAGCAAACAGG
rnacentral:rRNA from 1 species